rnacentral:rRNA from 1 species
GAUGAACGCUGGCGGCGUGCUUAACACAUGCAAGUCGAACGAUAAAGCCCAGCUUGCUGGGUGGAUUAGUGGCGAACGGGUGAGUAACACGUUAGUAACCUGCCCUUGACUCUAGGAUAAGCCCGAUUAACUGGGUCUAAUACUGGAUAGGAACGUCUACCGCAUUGUGGGUGUUGGAAAGAAUUUCGGUCAUGGAUGGACUUGCGGCCUAUCAGCUUGUUGGUCAGGUAGUGGCUCAGCAAGGCGACGACCGGUAGCUGGCCUGAGAGGGUGACCGGCCACACUGGGAUUGAGCCACGGCCCAGCCUCCUAUGGGAGGGAAGAGUGGGGAAUAUUGAACAAUGGACGAAAGCAAGGUGCAGCGAAGCAGCGUGAGGUAUGAGGGCCUUCGGUUUGUGAACCACUUUCAUUAGGGAAGAAGCGAAAGUGACGGUACCUGCAGAAGAAGCACCGGCUAACUACGUG